GUAGUGAAAAAAUAACUGUUGUGAACAUACUUUAUACUUCCUUCACCCUUGUAGUUCUUGUAAAAUAAGUAAUACUACAAUGAUACUGUAGUAUCAUUGAUGUUAUAUUCAUGUUACUCAAUACUUGAUAUAUAUGAUAUCUUUAAUAUUACAUAUUUAUUAUGUAAUAAUUAUAGUCAAACAUUUAAUGAAAGAAUAAGUGUUGGACUGAACAAGUAAGUAUAAUGUAUUAGAGUGUAUUUUGUGUCCUGAUGUUUUUCAAACUUAUUUUCUUUGACUAGUAAUGGUGGGUUAGAAGAAGGAAAACCUGUUGAUCUAGUUCUUAGCUGUGUGGACAAUUUUGAAGCUCGAAUGACAAUAAAUACAGCUUGUAAUGAACUUGGACAAACAUGGAUGGAAUCUGGGGUCAGUGAAAAUGCAGUUUCAGGGCAUAUACAGCUCAUAAUUCCUGGAGAAUCUGCUUGUUUUGCGUGUGCUCCACCACUUGUAGUUGCUGCAAAUAUUGAUGAAAAGACUCUGAAACGAGAAGGUGUUUGUGCAGCCAGUCUUCCUACCACUAUGGGUGUGGUUGCUGGGAUCUUA
rnacentral:sRNA from 1 species